GCGGGUGUAGCUCAAUGGUAGAGCAUCGGUCUUCCAAACCGAGUACGAGGGUUCGAUUCCCUUCACCCGCU
rnacentral:tRNA from 1 species